rnacentral:misc_RNA from 1 species
CUUUGGAGGCAUAAAAACAGUUCCUAAAUAUAGAUAUGCAGCAUAAAUCACUACUAGAUAGAUAUUCAAAAAAUAAAAUAGAAAAGAAACAACUAGAAGUUACCUAAAUACUACACAAGUUAUCAAAUGUAAUUGUUUAACACUUUGAGCAAAACUCACCAUGCAAUUCUUUUUUUUUUCCUAAAAUUAGAUAUAGAUGCCAUGAUCUUUGUCUAAAUUUCAACCUUUGAUUCCCCCUCUUCACCAUUUCUACCAACUAUUAGUCUAUCAGUAGUCAUGUUAUGAAAAAAUUUGCAAAUACCAAUGUUUAUUUAAGUUUAACUAAUAAAAGUUGAGGAAAAAUAUGUGCUAAGAAAAAUUUUGCUCGAAUUUAUUUUCCAGCACAUGUUAAUUGGGACCGGCUAUGUUAUAUGGUAGU